rnacentral:rRNA from 1 species
AGAGUUUGAUCCUGGCUCAGGACGAACGCUGGCGGCGUGCUUAACACAUGCAAGUCGAACGAUGAAAGCCGGAGCUUGCUCUGGCUGGAUUAGUGGCGAACGGGUGAGUAACACGUGAGUAACCUGCCCCUCUCUCUGGGAUAACCGCCGGAAACGGUGGCUAAUACCGGAUACGACCCUCGGAGGCAUCUCCUGGGGGUGGAAAGAUUUAUCGGUGAGGGAUGGACUCGCGGCCUAUCAGGUAGUUGGUGAGGUAACGGCUCACCAAGCCGACGACGGGUAGCCGGCCUGAGAGGGUGACCGGCCACACUGGGACUGAGACACGGCCCAGACUCCUACGGGAGGCAGCAGUGGGGAAUAUUGCACAAUGGGCGCAAGCCUGAUGCAGCAACGCCGCGUGAGGGACGACGGCCUUCGGGUUGUAAACCUCUUUUAGUAGGGAAGAAGCCGCAAGGUGACGGUACCUGCAGAAAAAGCACCGGCUAACUACGUGCCAGCAGCCGCGGUAAUACGUAGGGUGCAAGCGUUGUCCGGAAUUAUUGGGCGUAAAGAGCUCGUAGGCGGUUUGUCGCGUCUGCAGUGAAAACUGGAGGCUCAACCUCCAGCCUGCAGUGGGUACGGGCAGACUAGAGUGCGGUAGGGGAGAUUGGAAUUCCUGGUGUAGCGGUGGAAUGCGCAGAUAUCAGGAGGAACACCGAUGGCGAANGCAGAUCUCUGGGCCGUAACCGACGCUGAGGAGCGAAAGCAUGGGGAGCAAACAGGAUUAGAUACCCUGGUAGUC